UUUAGUUUAUAAUUUUGUUUAGUUAGAUUCAGACUGUUCCAAUACUAACACUUGUGAUCUAAUGCCAGGGAUGUGGUAGAGCUCCCUGGUUGAUGCAUGGAAUGUUUAGAUCUAAUGGAGGGUGUGGUUAUUAUGUCAAGAAGCCUGCUUUUCUAUUGAAUGUUGAUCCAAAUGGUCAAGUUUUCGAUCCCAAGGAUAAAUUGCAAGUGAAAAGGACUUUUCAGGUCAAAGUUUAUAUGGGAGAUGGAGGGCAUUUAGAUCUUAAACAAGCACACCUUGAUCUAUGCUCACGCCAGAUUUCUAUUGCAGGGUUGGCAUAGCGGGGGUGCCAGACUGCCAGUAGAUCAGAUAAUGAAGAAAACGAAGACAAAGGAGGACAACUGGGCGCCUGUUUGGCGGGAAGAGUUUGAAUUUCCAUUGACUGUACCUGCACUUGCUUUGCUUCAAGUUGAAAUUCAGGAGUAUGACAUGUCCAAGAAGGAUGACUUUGCCGGCCAAACUUGUUUGCCAGCCAGUCUCCGAGUUGAAAAAAGGGAUACCUGCUGUUCCCCUCUUCGAUCGAGAGGGAGAAAAGCUGAGCUCAGUAAGGCUUCUGAUGCGUUUUGAUUUUGUCUGAGACAGUGAAAAAGUAGAAAGUCCAUUUCUCUGUAUUUUAUUUGGUUAAACUUUUCCAUAGUUAUUUGAUCACCCUGUAUAUAAUGUAUAUUUUAAUCUGCUGAACAUCAUGUGAUUCACGGAGUUCUGUUUUAA